ACCUGACUGGUCCUGCUGGUCCUC
rnacentral:siRNA from 1 species